rnacentral:misc_RNA from 1 species
UUUCCUACAGUGGUGGUAUCUGCUGUGCGCUGUGAACUUGGCGAGGAGUUAGGUAUGUAGGUCAGCAUCUUUCAAGCUGGCAAGGAGCGCGGAGAAAACAGAGAGUUGAAUCAACAAGAACUUGUAAUGGCCUCCAGAGAUCCUGAUUAUAACCCAGCUAUGGAAGAAGAAGUACCCUCCCCUGAUCAACAGACACCGAGUAUCAAGACACCCAAAACAAAGAGGAAGAAAUCCGAGGACGGCGGCCCACGGACGCCCUCUGUUCGACAGCCUGCCACUUAUGCCGCCGUCCACAUUGAAAACCUGGUCAAACCAAAGACAGAGUGUCUUAUCCGUGCAAUCGACCGCGCCCACGUUGAGAACAUUAAGCGAGAAAUGAGGGAGAAGCAGGUGACGAAGUUCACGCUCAUUGUUGCCAACGUCUCCACGCCUGACAUGCCCCCCAUCAAGGAUCUUCAGAAAGCAAGGUCCUGCCGCCUGGAGGUUCUGGGUGGGAACCACACCCGUCAGGCUGCCAUGGAGUUGUGGGUAGAGACAGAGGACAAGAGGUAUGCCCUAUGGCCGUGCCAGUUGUACCAUCAGCUGACGGAGGAAGAGUCCAAGGCCCUGGCCUAUCUCCACAACAGGAACCACGAAGUGGCCAAACAGAUGACCUUCCUGGACUAUGUCCGGCUGUUUCGGACAGAGAGAGUGGCCUGUCAGAAGGCUGGAGCAUCUCCAGAGACUCUUGAGUUUGAAUGGAAGGAGAAACUUUGCCAUAUGAUGUCACUGACGAAGCGCAUCCUGUCUGCCAACUACAUGGCCGCACUCCGGGUGUCCUCCGUCAACGACACAGUCUGGCCACACUUGGCCUCGCUGUUCACUGCCUGGGACAAAGGUCAUGUCAAAGGUCAGAAAAAGGGACCAAUGAAAGCCUACUUCUUGGCUAACGCCCACUUCCUUGAUGACCGAGAGCUGAUCACGUGUAUCAAGGACAUGUUGAAAGGAGCUCUCUCGCCUCGGAGCUUUCAGAAACGAUGUGCAGAGGCUGGCGCGAAGUUUAGGCGACAUCUGAAGAGACAGAGAUCAAAGGACCAAUACAGUGACGCAGAGAGCGACAAUGGCGUGUCCAUCCGCUCCAGGUCAACGUCAAACGAGGACAGUGAAGAAGACAGCGACAGCUUCAACUGUGAUAGCCAGAGACAAAACAAGGUGAAGGUUAUGUCAAAGAACAGCCACCACUCAAAGAGGCGCCGAACAGAUAAGAAAGAACCGGAUGUGCUGUUUGGCCAGCAGACUGAAUCUUUGACCAACCAACUCACACAACAGAAGGACACCAACAAAGAGCUCCAGGCGCGAUUAACGGAACAGGAUGACGAACUUGUGAACCUGAGAGCUGACAAUGCAAUCUUGGAACAAAAGGAAGCGAACCACCAGGAGGAAAUAGCGCACCUCAAAACAAAAAUAGCGAAGCUGGAGAAAAAGGAGAGGGAUACGAGUGACGAAUUACUCAAAGCCAAAGCGUGUCUCUCAUUGUGUAGAAAGGCGGAGACGGAGCUACGUGAGAAGGUGAAACAGAUGGAAUCAUCGCUCCCAUCCAGAAGUCAUACAAGAAGCUCAAGGUGAACGACAUUGUUGAGGCCCAGUGGGAAGACGGCCUGUGGUAUCCAGCGUGUGUGGUGCAAGUUCUCAAGCAUGAUGCUUACCGUGUGAAGUUCCUGGAGGAUAAUAUUGUGUGCGAUGUACAGACAAGGUCAAUAAAACCAUUAUUAUGAUAUGAA